GCUUUGGUAGUUUAGGGGUAGAAUUCAUGCCUUCCAGGCAGGAGCCCUGGGUCCAAUUCCUGGCCAGCGCA
rnacentral:tRNA from 1 species